rnacentral:rRNA from 1 species
CAGCCGCCGCGGUAAUACGAAGGGGGCUAGCGUUGCUCGGAAUUACUGGGCGUAAAGGGCGCGUAGGCGGAUAGUUUAGUCAGAGGUGAAAGCCCAGGGCUCAACCUUGGAAUUGCCUUUGAUACUGGCUAUCUUGAGUUCGGGAGAGGUGAGUGGAAUGCCGAGUGUAGAGGUGAAAUUCGUAGAUAUUCGGCGGAACACCAGUGGCGAAGGCGACUCACUGGCCCGAUACUGACGCUGAGGCGCGAAAGCGUGGGGAGCAAACAGGAUUAGAUACCCGAGUAGUCCCUGUCUCUUAUAU